GCCUCGGCCAAGCUAUUUACUCUUCCCUGUAAAGAAGUGCGGUUGGAGGCUGCAAGAGAAAGGACGAAGCGGGAGAAGAGACAUUCGAACGGUGAGAAGGAUCUCGUUUGGUCUUCCUACGUUCGAUCGGCUUCUGCUUCUACCCGAUCAGGCCAAGCAGAAACAGAAGCGAUCGAUCGGGAGUGCUCACCGAAUUCUUUGAUAGGACGAUGGUGGGAAGGAGCGAUGCGGGGGACGUUGUCGUGGGAGAGGGGCAUGGGGUCGGAGCGCGCCGCCUCCUUGAAGUCCCCUAAGAGGAAGCCACGCCCAGUUCAGCGUCCUUACCGCACAUGUAACGAGCAGCACCACCAGCAGAAGCGCCACCCCGCCCCAUCCCGAGCUCCACCACAUCUCCGCUAAUACGAACGACAUCGACUGGACGUACGUCUCUCGGUGUUCGAAGGGGAGGAUACGGAAAGAUUAGCGUGCCGACGUCGGGUGAUGGAUUUGUCUCCGGAAGAUGACCACAGCGACAACGCAAAAAGGUUUGGAGUUACAUGGAAGCUGACAGAGAUGCUUACACUAACAUGGAAGCUGACAGAGCUACAGCGAUGGAGCUUGUGGUUAUUUGGGAGUGUUCAUCUUCCUCUCUCUGUUUCCCGUACUGUGCAACAAGGACAAUAAGGGAAAUGGCAGUUUCUGCGGCAAUGAGUAAUGCUACCAAAAAUAAUAAUGGAUAUAAUCAAUAGUAAAACAAAAAUUCAAAACAGUCGACCUUAAAACAGCCAUGGAAGAGCACUUCAAAUAUUUUUCUUAGGCAUCAUCUCUACAUUAAGGGUUGAGAUAAGAUUUGUAUACAUAAUUAAUUUUUCUUUCAAAUAAUUUGAUGCUCGAAGGAGUUUGAUUUCCAAUAAAUAAUACAAAUAUUACCAACCCUGGUAUUUCCAUCUUA